UGAAGAAUUGUAGGAUUUUCUUACACAAUACUUCGAUAUCCAGAGACAAUCCGUCAGGACGGCGGAUUAAGCUUGCUCUUGCCCAUGGAUGGGCAAUUGCAAGCGUUCUCGUCACUAGUCGAGACCUAAAAUGUAUUGUGUUAGAAAACCACA
rnacentral:ncRNA from 1 species